rnacentral:rRNA from 1 species
UACGAAGGGGGCUAGCGUUGCUCGGAAUUACUGGGCGUAAAGGGAGCGUAGGCGGACUGUUUAGUCAGAGGUGAAAGCCCAGGGCUCAACCUUGGAAUUGCCUUUGAUACUGGCAGUCUUGAGUACGGAAGAGGUAUGUGGAACUCCGAGUGUAGAGGUGAAAUUCGUAGAUAUUCGGAAGAACACCAGUGGCGAAGGCGACAUACUGGUCCGUUACUGACGCUGCGGCUCGAAAGCGUGGGGAGCAAACAGG